rnacentral:rRNA from 1 species
GAUNACCUGGCGNCANCCUAUACAUGCAAGCUCGAGCGGCAGCACGGGUACUUGUACCUGGUGGCGAGCGGCGGACGGGUGAGUAAUGCCUAGGAAUCUGCCUGGUAGUGGGGGAUAACGCUCGGAAACGGACGCUAAUACCGCAUACGUCCUACGGGAGAAAGCAGGGGACCUUCGGGCCUUGCGCUAUCAGAUGAGCCUAGGUCGGAUUAGCUAGUUGGUGAGGUAAUGGCUCACCAAGGCGACGAUCCGUAACUGGUCUGAGAGGAUGAUCAGUCACACUGGAACUGAGACACGGUCCAGACUCCUACGGGAGGCAGCAGUGGGGAAUAUUGGACAAUGGGCGAAAGCCUGAUCCAGCCAUGCCGCGUGUGUGAAGAAGGUCUUCGGAUUGUAAAGCACUUUAAGUUGGGAGGAAGGGCAUUUACCUAAUACGUAAGUGUUUUGACGUUACCGACAGAAUAAGCACCGGCUAACUCUGUGCCAGCAGCCGCGGUAAUACAGAGGGUGCAAGCGUUAAUCGGAAUUACUGGGCGUAAAGCGCGCGUAGGUGGUUUGUUAAGUUGAAUGUGAAAUCCCCGGGCUCAACCUGGGAACUGCAUCCAAAACUGGCAAGCUAGAGUAUGGUAGAGGGUGGUGGAAUUUCCUGUGUAGCGGUGAAAUGCGUAGAUAUAGGAAGGAACACCAGUGGCGAAAGGCGACACCUGGACUGAUACUGACACUGAGGUGCGAAAGCGUGGGGAGCAACAGGAUUAGAUNCCUGGUAGUCACGCCGUAACGAUGUCACUACCGUGGGAGCUUGACUCUAGGGCCACUACCAUAANUNACGCUGGGAUCGCCCAGUAACUCAAUGAUGCGGGCCCCANCGNGACUGGUUAUCAACACNNAACUCNGCUGNUCANANUCAANGAGUCUCGAUUACGNCCGCUCCCCCGCGAUUGUACCACNNCUUNNUCCCUGGCUANNCGACGAGGACANGCUCGNCUAGGAGCCGGACANACANCCGANNAAAUNCCCCCCCNNNNNGGGGGNG